rnacentral:rRNA from 1 species
AACGAACGCUGGCGGCGUGGAUUAGGCAUGCAAGUCGAACGCGAAAGGGGGAGCAAUCCCUGAGUAGAGUGGCGAACUGGUGAGUAACAGGUGGGCAAUGUGCCCCAAAGUGGGGGAUAACUCCGAGAAAUCGGAGCUAAUACCGCAUAUGGCGUCGAGGACUUUGGUUCAUGACGUUAAAGGAGCAAUUCGCUUUGGGAUCGGCCCGCCCCCGAUUAGCUAGUUGGUAAGGUAACGGCUACCAAGGCAACGAUCGGUAGCUGGUCUGAGAGGAUGGUCAGCCACACUGGAACUGAGAUACGGUCCAGACUCCUACGGGGGGCAGCAGUCUAGAGGCUUCGGCAAUGGGGGAAACCCUGACCGGGCGACGCCGCGUGUGGGAUGAAGGCGUUUUUCGUUGUAAACCAC